rnacentral:rRNA from 1 species
ACGCUCGACACCUACGGGAGGCAGCAGUGGGGAAUAUUGCACAAUGGGGGAAACCCUGAUGCAGCGACGCCGCGUGAGCGAAGAAGUAUUUCGGUAUGUAAAGCUCUAUCAGCAGGGAANAAACUGACGGUACCUGACUAAGAAGCACCGGCUAAAUACGUGCCUGCAGACGCGUAUCUGAGGCGGGCGUGGACAGGC